UGGGCUACACACGUGCUACAAUGGUUGGUACAACGAGUUGCGAGUCGGUGACGGCGAGCUAAUCUCGUUAAAGCCAAUCUCAAGUUCGGAUUGUAGGCUGCAACUCGCCUACAUGAAGUCGGAAUCGCUAGUAAUCGCGGAUCAGCACGCCGCGGUGAAUACGUUCCCGGGCCUU
rnacentral:rRNA from 1 species